AUGGGUAAGCUGCUAGCCUUGAAGGAACUAUAUGGUGAUUGGGAUAUAAGCUUUGAUAAUCUGUAUAGUUUUAAGGCACAAAUUGAAAGGUGCUGCCCCGGUAGCAUAGUGAUAAUUGAGUGCCACACAAUAAAAGAUAAAAUCAGAUUUAAGAGAUUUUUUGUCGCUUUGAAGCCUUGCAUCGACGGGUUCCUUAGUGGUUGCAGGCCAUACUUGGCAGUAGAUAACACCUUCUUGACAGGCAGAUUCAAGGGGCAACUAGCUAGUGCUACCGCCGUUGAUGGCCAUAGUUGGAUGUAUCCAGUUUGUAUGGGUGUUUUUUAUUCUGAAACUAAUGAGAACUGGAUCUGGUUCAUGCAAUUGGUUAGGCAAGCCAUAGGAUCCCCAAGGGGUUUAACCAUAUGCACCGACGCUGGGCAGCCAGUGAUGAUAGGUGUAAAAGAAGUGUUCCCAGAGGCUGAACAUAGGGAAUGUAUGUUUCACUUGGUGUCCAACUUCAAGAAGAAGUUUCAUGGAAAGGUUUUUGAUGACCACCUUUCGGUUGCUGCUUACUCAUGGAACCCAUAUUUAUUUGAGAAAAACUGGGUUGCAAUGGACAUAGCAAAGCCAGCGGCAACUGCAUAUCUUAGGAAGUGGCACACUAGGUUGUGGUCUAGGAGUCAGUUCUCAACAAUUUCCAAGGUGGAUUAUGUUACAAACAACUUGGCUGAGUGCUUCAAUAAUUGGAUUAAGCAUCACAAGUCCUUGAACUUGGACGACUUCUUUGAUAAGCUUAGGCAAUUGAAUUCCCCACAUAAGUAA
rnacentral:rRNA from 1 species